rnacentral:misc_RNA from 1 species
GAUGAAGAACGCAGUGAAAUGCGAUAAGUAAUGUGAAUUGCAGAAUUCGGUGAAUCAUCGAAUCUUUGAACGCACAUUGCGCCCCCCGGCAUUCCGGGGAGCAUGCCUGUUCGAGCGUCUCUUGGAAUACCCCUCACGCCGGCGGAGGCGUGGUCAUGGCGGCGGUGGCGUGCCCCGAGAGGGAGGCCACCGCGCUGGAAUCCAUGGGCGGACGCCUGCCGCGUGGCCGAGCGUGAUAAGACGCACUGGCGCUCGCGCGCGGCGAGGCUGCCGGCCCUGGCCCGCUCGUCGGGCGGGGACAGCAACACUUGGGAACUCCUCGAAUCAGGUAGGGAUACCCGCUGAACUUAAGCAUAUCAAUAAGCGGAGGA